rnacentral:lncRNA from 1 species
GGCACGUAAUUGGAAACCGCGGAGCUGAACUUUUCCGACUUUUUUUUAGCACAUAAAUAAGCCGCUCCCUUAUGGCACAGGCAUUAGCAAUUUUUCCGCUCAGAGAUUUUCGAGCGUAAUGAUAUAUAAAUGAAGAUGUGAGUUCUGCUCUAGCUCAGUUCUGAUUUGAUACCACGCUCGAAGACACAUACCCCGAAAAUUUUGAAUUUUUCGGACUCAAGCGCGUAAAAUGAAUCUGAUGUCAUCUCUCUUGGUUUGGACGACGGUGUUAUGGGUUAUGAUACCGUAUGGAGUGGGAAUGUAUCCACGCGGGCAAUCGGAGAUUGAAUCGGUUCCAUCAACUCCCAGAGCAGGAACGCCUCCCAGAAGUGGGUCGGGUCGUUCUUCCCCUGCUACGCUUGAGAAGGAAAAGAAACUAAACUGGUUCCAAAGGAGGAAGCAGAAGAAAAAACAAGAGGAAGAGGAGAAGGAAAAGGCCGCCGCGAAGAAGAGAAAACCCGUGAAUACUGGGAAGGAAGUCAUGUAUUAUCGCGAUGUGUCCACCGUAGACGCAAGCUGCUAUAGCCAAAUGAUCCGAAGUAUAUUGAAUGACGACCCGUGUAAAAAGGGUAAAGCUGACGCAAACGCUUACUGCAAAAAAGUGACUGGAUUCUUGAACAGACUCAAACCCGAGAAUCGGAGCCCCGACUGCCCCAACGUGAGGAACGGAAGAUGCGCCGAAAUUGAAGGCCAGAAAGUGUGCGCAGUUGACACGUACACGAAGAUGCCAUAUUGCGGAUGCUUAACCAACAGGAAAACUGAAAAAACAAACUUGACGUUUAGUCAGUGUGUUGGCACGAUCCCUUACUAA